rnacentral:lncRNA from 1 species
UUUUUGGGUGACGUUCUGAUUCCCUGGUGCUCUAAUCCUUAAUCCAGUAGUCAGACAAUGGGAAAUUUGUCUUGGCUUUGGCUCCUCGAAAAUUGACGGCGGCUCUAUCGUAGGCCCUAGCGGCGUCCUCUGCGGUCUCGAAGGUCCCUAACCACACUCCCAUAGCUCGACGAGGGUCUCGAAUCUCUGCCGCCCACUUCCCCCACGGUCUCUGCCUUACGCCCCUAUACUUUUUCACCCUUUUCAUCACUCCAUUAGUAGUGGUACUGGUUGGCUCGAAAAGGUUACAUCCUAAACAUCCAUUGAUUUUACACAACUGACAGGUGUCACCCUCAGGGAUCACGAGCAUUGGCUGAAUCUUGGUCCCACUUGGGGGGGCCAAUGAUGACGACGUAGCAUCUUGUAGGGCCACUAUAUUGGCGGGAGAAACGUCAUUCCCAUUCCCAUAGAUGACGUGUUUCAAAGCCGAGACCAUGAUCGAGAGCUCACGCUCUCGAGUCAACCGCGAGGGAAGAGUGAGGGACCUCUCCGGUUCGAGUUCAUCUUUUUCGGGGCUACUUGAAGAUUUUUGCAUUUUACAGGGAGGAAUUCUCAAAUAACAAAAGUUUAGAAUGGAAGAAUGGAAAGUGCAAAAUAUUUGAAGAGAACUUUCCAUACAAGGUAGGUGGUUGGAUUACAUUGUUGGAGGAAGUCGAUAGAACAAUGUACGGAGAUCGACAUCGUAGGAUGUAUAUAUACAAUCGUAUGUUUUUUACAAAGAAGUGAGCCACGUGCCUAUAUUUUACACGUUGUACCUAAACCCUGUGAACGUUUUGGCCACGUAUAUGCGAAGCUUCUUAGAAAGUGGGGUCCACUGUGAUGAUAAGGAUGGAUGGAAUAAUAGGACAUGCGCUAGCUCUAAACCCACCUAGGAAAGCUCAAAACUUGUCACCUACAUCGUAUUACAAUUGAGACACGUGGCUUCAAAUCAAAGUUUACCCCUAUUGGAAUUUUUCAUUUCACGAACAUUCUUUUACUUUUUUUUACCCCUGUUGGAAUUUCUGGAAGAUUCUUAAAAAUGGAAAGUUUUAGAAGAAGAAGGUCCUCAAACACAAAAAAUUCUAGUUCUAAUUGUAUUGAGAGCAGGGCUUAUAUUUUUGAAAUAAUGGAAUUGAAACACAAUUUCUCAUAAAAUCGUAUAACAAAGUCUUAGAAUGAAAACACGAUUUUAGUGGUAUAUUCCUUCAAACAUCGAGUUGAAUGACUUUACGAAAAAUUGUGUUUUAAUUUCACAACUUUAAAAUAGUGCACGAAUAUAAAUAUUUUGAUUUGGUAAAAAACUCUACAUUCAUAUAUUCAAUCCAUGUAUGCAUUAUUUGUAUUAAACGUAUGGAUUUUAUGUAUCAGUGCCUAAGCAGUGGAGUUGAAUGCUAUUUUUGGCCACGUGUAUACGGAACUUCUUAGAAUAUGGGGUCCAUGGUGAUGACAAGGAUGGGCAGAUUUGGUUGUUUGGCUAGUUAAUUAAGUUUGUCGGAAGACACGUGGCUUCUAAGGAGCACCUCGUACAUCAACCUGGGUGCGGUCGUGGCUAAGAUUGUUCAAAGGACGCAGCUUCUUUG